GAUAGGAGAAAGCCAGGUAAAGGUGAAGAAGAUAAAUACUUGAGACCAGAGAUCCAAUAUUGUGAGGAAAUGUAGGAGGGAUUGGUCAGUGUCCAUAAUCUCAAGUUGUUUACUGUGACUGGAGGGCUGUAUUGGAGUAGGAGACUUAAAGAGAAAUAAGGUUAAAGAGUAGCCAACGCUGUAGACUCCUGUAGGUUAUCUGUGGAGCCACUGAAAGAGCUUAAAGAGUUUCUUCUAGAUAAAAUUGGCACUAAGUUUAUACUCAAAUGAGAAGGCUGAAAGGAGUGAGGAAGUGUUGUAGAACUGCAACACGGAGCGCUUUCCUCAUAACAGUGUGGCCAUACAGAGACAAGACAAGAGUGUAGAG